rnacentral:rRNA from 1 species
AGUGAACGCUGGCGGUAGGCCUAACACAUGCAAGUCGAACGGCAGCACAGUAAGAGCUUGCUCUUACGGGUGGCGAGUGGCGGACGGGUGAGGAAUACAUCGGAAUCUACUUUUUCGUGGGGGAUAACGUAGGGAAACUUACGCUAAUACCGCAUACGACCUACCGGUGAAAGCAGUGGAUCUUCUGACCUUGCGCGAUUGAAUGAGCCGAUGUCGGACUAGCUAGUUGGCGGGGUAAAGGCCCACCAAGGCGACGAUACGUAGCCGGUCUGAGAGGAUGAUCAGCCACACUGGAACUUAGACACGGUCCAGACUCCUACGGGAGGCAGCAGUGGGGAAUAUUGGACAAUGGGCGGAAGCCUUAUCCAGCCAUACCGCGUGGGUGAAGGAGGCCUUCGGGUUGUAAAGCCGUUCUGUUGGGAAAGAAAAGCAGCAGGUUAAUACCCCGCUGUUCUGACGGUACCCAAAGAAUAAGCACCGGCUAACUUCGUG